rnacentral:rRNA from 1 species
CCUACGGGCGGCUGCAGUGAGGAAUAUUGGUCAAUGGACGAGAGUCUGAACCAGCCAAGUAGCGUGAAGGAUGACUGCCCUAUGGGUUGUAAACUUCUUUUAUAUGGGAAUAAAAUGUUCCACGUGUGGGAUUUUGUAUGUACCAUAUGAAUAAGGAUCGGCUAACUCCGUGCCAGCAGCCGCGGUAAUACGGAGGAUCCGAGCGUUAUCCGGAUUUAUUGGGUUUAAAGGGAGCGUAGGUGGAUUGUUAAGUCAGUUGUGAAAGUUUGCGGCUCAACCGUAAAAUUGCAGUUGAAACUGGCAGUCUUGAGUACAGUAGAGGUGGGCGGAAUUCGUUGUGUAGCGGUGAAAUGCUUAGAUAUCACGAAGAACUCCGAUUGCGAAGGCAGUUCACUGGACUGCAACUGACACUGAGGCUCGAAAGUGUGGGUAUCAAACAGGAUUAGAUACCCUAGUAGUC